AUGGAUCUGACACAGGUGCUGCCGGAGGAAUUGCUCGCCGACGUGCUCCGCCGCGUCGCGCCGCGCGGCCUCGCCGCGUGCCGCUGCGCCUGCAAGGCCCUGCUGGGCAUCAUCAACGCACGUCGCCUGCUGCGCACGGACCUCCUCCCGCACUCCGUCGCCGGCAUCUUCAUCAACUUCCACAGCGAAGGUUUGCCGGAGUUCUUCGCCCGUCCCUCAACAGGCCCCACGAUCUCCGGAAGGUUCGACUACCUGCCCCCACACAUUGGGGACUCCCAGUAUCGUGGUAAAAUCGAGGAUCAUUGCAAUGGCCUUCUCUUACUCGAAGAUUAUUUCGAGAAUUAUUAUGUGGUUAACCCGGCAACGAGACAGUGGAAUUCUUUGCCGCCGCACCCUUCCAUGUCCAAGUCUGGGGAGAUCGAUGCUGACUUCACAUACCAAGAGUACCUCAUCUUUGAUCCCACGGUAUCACCCCACUAUCAGGUACUCCCUAUCUCAAAUCCUACGGGCAAAUGGAAGCCCGAGGAUUUUGGCUACAACAGAGCAUUGGAUGAAUUAGACACUGUUAUGGAGGAAUCUGAAUGGCCACCAUCUGUUUGUGCCCUGCACGUUUUCUCCUCGAGCUCGGGCCGUUGGGAGGAGAGGUCUUUUAUUCGAGAUGGGAAGGCUGCAGACACCAUCGCUGAUAUGCGGCGGCAUUUCGACAAGCACUAUGCUGUCUACUGCCGGGGUGCACUUUACAUGCACUGCAUAACUGAUUUCAUAAUGAGGUUCUCUUUGUCAAAUGAUAAGUGCCAAGUAAUUAAACCACCGAUACAUGGUGAACUGGGGGAGUGCCCAAAGCUCCAUCUUGGACAAUCUGAAAAAGGGGUCUACCUUGCAUCUAUUUGUGAAAUGUCUCGUCUUCUGGUUUGGGUCCUUGACGAAUCGUGUGGUCAGACGAAUUGGGUCUUGAAGCAUAACAGUUGCAUUCCACCCAUACUGGAUUAUGAUCGUCCUAUUCUUGGCCCAUGGGUCUUACAAGAUAUUAACUAUGAGUAUCUCAAAGAGAGAAAGGACCACACUGAUACGGAAGACAUGAAAUAUCUAAAAGAGAAGAAACUACAGUUGAACUCCAGUAAGGAAGAGCUAGUGGAAGAAAAAAUUGAAUGGGACUCUCAAAAUGACAACAUCCUUCAUAAGGAAGAUGUGGUUGAUGCUCAUGGCAAUGGAUACUUCGAUAUCCUUGGGUUCCAUCCAUAUAAAGAGAUUGUCUUUCUGGAUGUAUCAAUGUACAGAGGAUUGGCCUAUCAUUUCACUACCAGAACAGGGCUCUAA
rnacentral:rRNA from 1 species